GAUGAACGCUGGCGGCGUGCUUAACACAUGCAAGUCGAACGAUGAAGCUCAGCUUGCUGGGUGGAUUAGUGGCGAACGGGUGAGUAACACGUGAGUAACCUGCCCUUAACUCUGGGAUAAGCCUGGGAAACUAGGUCUAAUACCGGAUAGGAGCGCCUACCGCAUGGUGGGUGUUGGAAAGAUUUAUCGGUUUUGGAUGGACUCGCGGCCUAUCAGCUUGUUGGUGAGGUAAGGGCUGACCAAGGCGACGACGGGUAGCCGGCCUGAGAGGGUGACCGGCCACACUGGGACUUAGACACGGCCCAGACUCCUACGGGAGGCAGCAGUGGGGAAUAUUGCACAAUGGGCGAAAGCCUGAUGCAGCGACGCCGCGUGAGGGAUGACGGCCUUCGGGUUGUAAACCUCUUUCAGUAGGGAAGAAGCGAAAGUGACGGUACCUGCAGAAGAAGCACCGGCUAACUACGUG
rnacentral:rRNA from 1 species